rnacentral:pre_miRNA from 1 species
AGAGGGAUAGCUGGGUCGAAUGGUAAUUCCAAGUUUUCUAAGGAAUCUCCACACUGCUUCCCUCAUUGGUUGCACCAAUUUGCAGUCCUACCGGCAAU